rnacentral:rRNA from 1 species
UACGUAGGGGGCUAGCGUUGUCCGGAAUCAUUGGGCGUAAAGCGCGUGUAGGCGGUCCGGUAAGUCCGCUGUGAAAGUCGGGGGCUCAACCCUCGGAUGCCGGUGGAUACUGUCGGGCUUGAGUACGGAAGAGGCGAGUGGAAUUCCUGGUGUAGCGGUGAAAUGCGCAGAUAUCAGGAGGAACACCAAUUGCGAAGGCAGCUCGCUGGGACGUUACUGACGCUGAGACGCGAAAGCGUGGGGAGCAAACAGGAU